UUGUCAACAUCAAUCUAAAACGUAUAUUGGUCUAUUUAUACUUCUUACAAAUACUAUCGAAAGUCAAAAUAUUAUGCUUGCAGCCUUGUUAAGGGAUAACGAAGUCAUACGGGAAACGUACGUCUGACAUCCCGGCGACAAUAAAUU